AACAUCGCGCACCUGCGGGAACCUGCGGAAGGAUCAUUAAUGAUUGGUGGCUGUUGCUGACUAGUGUUUCUAGUAUGUGCACGCCACACCUUCAAUCCCACUUACACCUGUGCACCUUCUGUAAUAGAUCUAUGUGGAUACGGAGAUAUGAAAGUUUGCGCUCUCGUACUCUGUUGAAGCAGUCUACUACGUUUUUUUACACACACACAAUAGUCAUUGAAUGUAUCUUUUAUUCUUAUG
rnacentral:misc_RNA from 1 species